AUUGAUGAAUACAACCCCCUUCUCCCAGCCCUUGAAACAGAGUGGGAAGGGUGUUCAUCUACCACGAGAGCCACAGCAAAGUGGAGGGAGACAUACACCAUGCGUGCUUCUCUCAGGUCCAGGAGACCAAAGCAGCUGCGUCUGGACAGCCAUGAGGGUGAGCAGGCAGACAUCCCUGCGGAAACCGACUGCAGCCCAGGGGAGACCAGGCCAGCUCAGUGUUCACUGUGUUUAUCACAAGCACGCAGACAAUGCACAUGUGCAGUGCUAACGGGACAGGGGCCACAGCCCAGCGGAGCUUCUCUGGCCCACUCAGAACUGGCCUCAUGUACGGGACAACCCAACCUCCACCUCCCUGCAAGGGGCCUCCGUGUCCUGGUGGCUGCUGGGAAGAGAAGCAAUAGCCACGUGUCCAGCAUGGCCGCUCUUCUUUCGACACGUUCUCGGACCCACCUUUGCGCUGGUCAUCAAUAUUCUCCCCGUAGUUGACUCGCCCACGAUUCUCCACCAAGAUCCUCAGCACAGUGUAACCCUGCCAGCAACACAGGGCUAACGAUGACCACUGGAGGGCCACAGCUGCCCUCAGAAUGUGCUUGUGGACCCCAGUUCUUCCCUACACUCUGGGGAUGGGAGUGCACAUCCCAGCUGGGCAGAAAGGCGCGCUCGCCCUCUCCACCUGCAGCUUGUGGGGAAGGAGCCACGGGUCUCCCAAGUCUUCCUCGGUGACUCCCCCCGUCCUCCUCGAAGCAGCGGGGGCUAGCCCUCACCCAGCGCCCAAAAACAAUGAACCUGGAUCAGAGGGACAGCGAUCUUCGUUGUCUUGUAGUCCAAGAAUCCUAUGGAUACUGUGUUCACAAACACCUGCCAAAGGGAACAGACAGAAGCAUCCAUGGCCAACAGGAGGAGGGUACGUGGGACCUCCGCUAGGCCAAGAAGGGCAGCACCGCAUGCCUGUGGGCAGACAAGGGGCCAGCGGGCAGAGCAGAAACGAAUGCCCCCAUGAAGACUCGCAGAGCUGACUCGGAAGGGCCAUAUUUACAGCUGGAAAUAGCUGAUUCUGAGGGACAGAACAUAUUGCAGGGCUGCUCAUCAGAAGGUCGCGGGAAUUUAGAAGGGAAGCUCCUACCUGCCCCCGAUCACGCACACGGCCGCUGAGGACGCCAGAUGAGGUGAUGCUGGUCUCGUAGAGAAUGUACCCAAAGGACUGUCCAUUUCCCCCGUUGACUGGCAGGUUCUCCAUGUUGAUGGGCUUUUCAGACUUGAUUGGCUGCGUACAGAAGAGAUGGCGGGGGGGCAGGCUGAGCAGGAGUGUGGUCACAGACUCUGCCUGGGGGCUGGCACGUGGAGUGGAAGCAGGGGUUUGGCGGGUGUUUCUACUUUGACUUCUCAUUGCACUAAACCUACAGCUCUGCAGAGUGAUGGGGAAGAGGGUGGGACAAAGGGGUGUGCCCCGGCCGAGUGCAGUCCACAGGCAGGGGGUAUGCAGCACAGCCUCGGGCCACCGGAGGAGGCCCUCCCUGUUCCUCCGCCCCUCUCUCCUCUCUGAGGCUGGAGGAAGGAACGGUUCACAGGGCCACCCGCUGUUCCUCAGGGGCCUUUGUUUCUCCCCAACUCACACUCUAGCAUGAGUCUGCCUUCUUCACUCUGAGCUCCAAGGCUGGAGAGCGGACCUCAAAGCCACUAGGCGCUGGCCUUCCUCUCCCCACACCCCUGCUACACCCACGAUUGCCCCCGGCACUCACCUCCCCCAUGUACUUGAGGGCAUCCCACAGA